UGAAAUCAUUGUACAAGAUAAAAGUGCAGAUAGGAGGAGAAAGUCAUACAUAAAACAGCUGAAAGAAGAAGCUGAGGAAUACUUAUUGAAAGCUGAAGAUGCUGCCACAAGACUUAAUGUUCUCAACAGAUCUGCUCUAAGGCCAGUUCAAGCUCAAGCCAGAACUCCUGUACUGCAAACACCGCCCUCUUACACUGAACUUACGCCCAGGAGAUGCAAUUCUGUUCCCCAGACAACCAGUAGACAGGAAGAAUACAUGAAAGUUGCUAAAACUCUGUUUACUGAUGAAGCUCUAAAACCCUGUCCAAGAUGUCAAUAUCCUGCAAAGUAUCAGUUGGUAAAGAAAUGGGGGCUAUGUAGCAGAGAGGCCUGUGCGUUUGAGUUCUGUGUCUUAUGUCUGCAUGCUUUCCAUGGGUCUAAGGAAUGUAAUAGUUUAUCAGCAAAACAGAAGAACAAAAAAGAUGCUCCUCCAGGAAGUGCCCAAAGCAAAAGAAAUUUAAAAAGACUCUAAAUUUGUAAGGCAUUCAAGU
rnacentral:lncRNA from 1 species